rnacentral:rRNA from 1 species
GAACGGAACUUCUUUGACAGAAUUUUUCGGAAGGAAGUUGAUUAAGUUUAGUGGCGGACGGGUGAGUAACGCGUGAGUAACCUGCCUUUGAGAGGGGAAUAACUUCCCGAAAGGGAUGCUAAUACCGCAUGAUGCAUAUUUAUCGCAUGGUAGAUGUGCCAAAGAUUUAUCGCUCAAAGAUGGACUCGCGUCCGAUUAGCCAGUUGGCGGGGUAACGGCCCACCAAAGCGACGAUCGGUAGCCGGACUGAGAGGUUGAACGGCCACAUUGGGACUGAGACACGGCCCAGACUCCUACGGGAGGCAGCAGUGGGGGAUAUUGCGCAAUGGGGGAAACCCUGACGCAGCAACGCCGCGUGAAGGAUGAAGGUUUUCGGAUUGUAAACUUCUUUUAUUUAGGACGAACAAUGACGGUACUAAAUGAAUAAGCUCCGGCUAACUACGUGCCAGCAGCCGCGGUAAUACGUAGGGAGCAAGCGUUAUCCGGAUUUACUGGGUGUAAAGGGUGCGUAGGCGGCUUGGUAAGUCAGAUGUGAAAUGUAUGGGCUCAACCCAUGCACUGCAUUUGAAACUAUUGAGCUUGAGUGAAGUAGAGGUAGGCGGAAUUCCCUGUGUAGCGGUGAAAUGCGUAGAGAUAGGGAGGAACACCAGUGGCGAAGGCGGCCUACUGGG